rnacentral:rRNA from 1 species
CGCGAGCUGGGUUUAGAACGUCGUGAGACAGUUCGGUCCCUAUCUGCCGUGGGCGCUGGAGAAUUGAGGGGGGCUGCUCCUAGUACGAGAGGACCGGAGUGGACGCAUCACUGGUGUUCGGGUUGUCAUGCCAAUGGCACUGCCCGGUAGCUAAAUGCGGAAGAGAUAAGUGCUGAAAGCAUCUAAGCACGAAACUUGCCCCGAGAUGAGUUCUCCCUGAGACUAUAAGUCUCCUGAAGGAACGUUAAAGACGAUGACGUUGAUAGGCCGGGUGUGUAAGCGCAGCGAUGCGUUGAGCUAACCGGUACUAAUGAACCGUGAGGCUUAACCUUACAACGCCGAAG